AGGGUUUGAGCGGAUGUAUGAGGAUAACGAUACAUAUUGGCGGCAGAGGAGCAGGAUACAAUGGAUUAGGGAGGGCGACCGGAAUACAAAAUUUUUCCAUGCGAAAGCUACGGCCCGAAAAAAAGGGAACCAAGUUUACGGAAUGAGGGAUAGUUCGGGGGUGUGGAGAGAGAAUGCAGCGGAGAUCGAACGCAUUAUUUCUGACUAUUUCCAGCACAUCUUCGCGUCCAUCCAGCCGAGAGAAGAGGAAAUCGAUGAGGUUUU
rnacentral:lncRNA from 1 species